rnacentral:rRNA from 3 species
GUUUCCGUAGGUGAACCUGCUGCUGGAUCAUUACC